rnacentral:lncRNA from 1 species
GUUUGUGAAGCACCUUCUAGCAGUUAUCUUAGAGAUGUAAGUUCAUUUACUUGUCCAGCACUAAAAGGCCAAAGGGGCUUGUUUUCUCACCCAAAAGACCUUCCUGAGGCAGCUGUUCGGAUACAUGCAGAGCACAGCGCCCUGCUCAGAAAGGAAGGUUCAGAGAACAAAUUGUCGUUUAAAACUAUUGGGACAAACCUACCUCUUCUAAAGCUUAAAAUGGUCUCCAGCGUACCAGGAUUUGUGAAGGCCUGAAGUUCGUAGAAUGAAAUCUAUGUGGAGAUGAUUUAAAAGAACGGUUUCACUGGUUUGCAUUUCUUUCUUUUCUUUUUAAUUAAAAAAAAACAACAACCCUGGUUUCCUUAGGGAUUCAGGGUGGUGUUAUGCAAAAUCGGAAAGGUACACUUGGAGGAGCUAGCAAGUUUAGCAUAUCAAAGCUAUUAGACCAAUUUGUGCGGUUAAAACUGCCAUUCUCAUUUCUCAACAGCUGUCUCCUCUCUGUCCCUUUUUAGAGACCAACACAUAUAAACCAAGUCUACACAAGAAACAAAGCUAAAAUCCUUUCGAAAUGAGUUCCUUUAAGUUCUUCAGUAACUAAAUCCUCCAGAAAGGAAAGCCGAGAGAAUCUAGUCCUAUACAAUAACACCCUCUAACAAAGAUCGCUAAAGGAAGAUUUUAGUAGAUGAAUAUCUUCAAUAAUACAUGGUCACAUACAUGUAUCUGACCAUAUGAUGGCUCUCUGCACCAAAUUCCUCCAAACUAUUAUAAUAUGUAUUGUCUGUAGUGCUAUUUAUUUGGCAGUUAAUCAUGUAUUACAUUGUGACAUUUCUUACAGUGAACCAUUAUGUAUGUGUUUAUGUUCUGCCCUCAACUACUCAAUGCCAGUACCUUAUUCUUAACACAGCAACCACCCUUUCUGGUCUGUCCUCACACCCUCAUUCCCAUCAUAGUUAUUCUCCUCUCUCAUGGAAAUGUUCAGUUUCUGGACAUCUCCUUUCUCUUCCAUUCUUCACCUGACCUUCCUUCCUUUCUUGGCCAGCCUGAAUAUUAUAAAGGGAAUUUUAUUUCAAACCCAGGAUCGCACUUAAGAGGAAAAGAAACAAAAGCCAGUUCUUUUUAUUGCACAUAGAACAAGGAGAAACUCCACCCCUUUUGUUGUCUGGUAUGUUUAAAACAAGAAAGAACUUUAGAAAAGUAGGAUAUGAGUGAAAAUUACAACCAAUGUUGAGAACUACUUUUUAAUUUUUUAUUACAAAAUUAGGAUGAUACUUCAUUAAACAUUGUACAUCAUUUCAAAACUGUUAUCUCAUAAUCAUGU